UAUCCCUACGGGAGGCAGCAGUGGGGAAUCUUCCGCAAUGGGCGCAAGCCUGACGGAGCAAUGCCGCGUGAACGAAGAAGGUCUUCGGAUUGUAAAGUUCUGUCCUUAUCGAAGAGAGGGUAUAGAGUGAAAAAUGAUAUACUAGGACGGUAGAUGAGGAGGAAGCCCCGGUUAACUACGUGCCAGCAGCCGCGGUAAUACGUAGGGGGCGAGCGUUGUCCGGAUUUACUGGGUGUAAAGGGCGUGCAGCCGGGCUGACAAGUCAGAUGUGAAAUCCCGCGGCUCAACCGCGGAACUGCAUUUGA
rnacentral:rRNA from 1 species